CCCAAACCGAGCCUCCCCUUCCUCUGCUCUUCCGCCGUCGUCCUCCAUGCAGAUCCAUGGCCGCCCCCAAGGUUUUACUGAGCUGCUUAUCAGCAUGAAGAGGUCUGGCGUGGCAGCAGGUCGAGUGCUUGGAGAAGUUCGUCGCCGGCAACGCCAUGGACACCCGUCGUGCGUCCACCGGGCUCCACGAUGACUUGCGUCGAGGACGCCUCCACCUUGGUUGGAUCUGCAGCUCGCUGUCAUCUCGCAGCUUGUCAGACGAGGGACCCCGUGGAAUUAGGUUAUCUUUUGGAGGCGCCGCGUCGCCGGGAUCUGAAACCGGCGCCAUCCAUCCAAGUGGAUCUGGCUCCAGAUACAAAAGUGAGGCCAGAUUCGUCAGUCGCCAUCCUCAGGCACGUCGUCGGUGCCUGAGAUUCCGUCCAAGUCCACGCUCGCCGGGCAUCCGGCUCUCCGUAUUUUUUCUGGCGCUUUGUGGCCUACUGAAUCAGCUUCUUCUGAGCUUCGGUCCUCUGUUUGGGCGGAUGACAUCUGUAAUUUCAUGGGUUCCGCAAAGAGGCACUAUACAGAAAAGAGCAAGAUACCUGUAGAUAGCGACGUAAUCAGGUGGCGGUGGAAUCCUGUUGGUCUACUACUCUACUACGAGCUACUUGUGCCUUCUGCUGCUUAUUUUUUUAGGAAAUUUUUGUUUUCUAAGAUGAGAUGAGAAGUAGAGUGGCCAACUCAGUUUGCUUUCGUUCUAU